AACGCAGCGAAGGGCGAUAAGUAAUGUGAAUUGCAGAAUUCAGUGAAUCAUCGAAUCUUUGAACGCACAUUGCGCCCCCUGGUAUUCCGGGGGGGCAUGCCUGUUCGAGCGUCAUUAUGACCAAUCCCGCAAGGGGUCUUGGGGUCCGCGGUUCGCUGCGGCCCUUAAAAUCAGUGGCGGUGCCAGCAGUGCUCUCAGCGUAGUAAUACUCCUCGCUCGGGAACCACGGUGGAUGCUCGCCAGCAACCCAACUUACACUAGGUUGACCUCGGAUCAGGUAGGGAUACCCGCUGAACUUAA
rnacentral:rRNA from 1 species